ensembl:rRNA 5S_rRNA 5S ribosomal RNA
GCCAGUAGCCGUAUCACCCUGCAACUCACAACUGGCAACCCACUGAAGCUAAGCAGGUGUGAGCCUGGUCAGUACCUGAAUGGGAGACCUCCUGGGUAAAACUAAGGUUGCUGCUAGAA